rnacentral:rRNA from 1 species
UACAGAGGGGGCAAGCGUUGUUCGGAAUUACUGGGCGUAAAGGGCGCGUAGGCGGCCUUCUAAGUCAUGCGUGAAAUCCCCGGGCUCAACCCGGGAACUGCGUCUGAUACUGGAAGGCUUGAAUCCGGGAGAGGGAUGCGGAAUUCCAGGUGUAGCGGUGAAAUGCGUAGAUAUCUGGAGGAACACCGGUGGCGAAGGCGGGUCUCUGGACAGUUCCUGACGCUGAGGCACGAAGGUCAGGGGAGCAAACGGG